rnacentral:lncRNA from 1 species
ACUGGAGGCAUAAAAUUGGAAUCCUAACUUCCAAUAUCAAAUUUGAGCACAAACCCUAUAAAAUGUAUCUUGUCAGAAUGUGCCAGAACCGCUAAGCUCUUUUCGGCGGAACAAAUUGCAGCUGGUGUCCUUAAAGGUCGAGAAUCAAACUUGCUGUAUCCUCAGGGUUUAGGCAGCAAAUUGGUCCCAGUUUUCACCCUGCCGCAGGGCUGGCUGGGGAGGGCAGCGGUUUAGAUUAGCCGUGGCCUAGGCCGUUUGACGGGGUGACACGAGCCUGCAGGGCCGAGUCCAAGGCCCGGAGAUAGGACCAACCGUCAGGAAUGCGAGGAAUGUUUUUCUUCGGACUCUAUCGAGGCACACAGACAGACCAUGGGGAUUCUGUCUACAGUGACAGCCUUAACAUUUGCCAGAGCCCUGGACGGCUGCAGAAAUGGCAUUGCCCACCCUGCAAGUGAGAAGCACAGACUCGAGAAAUGUAGGGAACUCGAGAGCAGCCACUCGGCCCCAGGAUCAACCCAGCACCGAAGAAAAACAACCAGAAGAAAUUAUUCUUCAGCCUGAAAUGAAGCCGGGAUCAAAUGGUUGCUGAUCAGAGCCCAUAUUUAAAUUGGAAAAGUCAAAUUGAGCAUUAUUAAAUAAAGCUUGUUUAAUAUGUCUCAAACAGAAAAUGUCUUUUGAAGAGCAUUUUAAACCUGAUAUUAAAAUCUGGCCGAGCGCAUGUCCCGGGGCGUAAUUGGUGGGCACAGGAAUUUGGGUCCUUUGCAAGAAGUGUGGUAUUCUCCCUUCACAAGGUAUUUCUUCCCCAAUGUAUAAAAUGAAAGCAGAAAGGUUUUUAGGUAGCUAUUUAAAACUGUUCAUGCAACAUAAUAAAUAUAAGACAAUUGA